rnacentral:rRNA from 1 species
UUUAAUGAGAGUUUGAUCCUGGCUCAGGACGAACGCUGGCGGCGUGCCUAACACAUGCAAGUCGAGCGAUCUGGCACUCAAU